UACGAAGGGGGCUAGCGUUGUCGGAAUUACUGGGCGUAAAGCGCACGUAGGCGGACAUUUAAGUUGGAGGUGAAAGCCUUGGGCUCAACCCAAGAAUUGCCUUUGAUACUGGAUGUCUCGAGACCGGGAGAGGUGAGUGGAAUUCCGAGUGUAGAGGUGAAAUUCGUAGAUAUUCGGAAGAACACCAGUGGCGAAGGCGGCUCACUGGCCCGGUUCUGACGCUGAGGUGCGAAAGCGUGGGGAGCAAACAGG
rnacentral:rRNA from 1 species